GGAUGUGGAUGAUGAGAUCACAAGUAAAAAUACAGUUAUUCCUGUCUUACUUCCUCGGAAGGGUGCUGAGAAUACUUUUAAGGAUGCGUCU
rnacentral:snoRNA from 1 species